AUGCAUGUGUGAAGAAUUGUCGCUGCGUAUCUACGAAAGGCAGCACACGGAUUACCACUUUGUCUCGUAAAUUUUAAAAUGUCAAGGAUGGAAGGUACUGUAAGAAGAAGUAACAAUCCAGAUAAUUUAGCAAUCAUCAUAACUCAUCAGAAUCGGCAGGAAUUUUCGAUCCUUCGUUUAAAAGUAAUUUAAGCCUUUCUUCAACUGCAUCAUAUUCUGUAAAAUAAUUUAGAUAUUAAACUUUAAUAUUUAUGUUAAAGCCUGCAAACGUUAUAUUAAUAUAAGUGUGAAGUGAUAAAUUCAAACUUAUUAAGUAUUCCAUGUCGUACAUUUAAGUAAACAUCUGUGCUUAAUAGUACGGACAAUGAAUGUCCAAAUAAGUGAUCGUCCCGCGCUUUCAUCACCAGUACUACUCAAUAAUAUAAUUCAUGCCGGUGCAAUCACGUUUACAUGAUGUUACAUGUGUUAAAACGAGAUGAGAAUUUUUAUUAUAAUUAUAAUAUUUACAAAGUUAAUUUUAAAAAUCUAUGGAAAUAUUUUAAUUUUUUCAUCUUAAAAUUCAUGCAACUUAUAAAUUAUUAAAACUUAUUUUUUUUAAAUAAAAUCAAGUAUUAGAUUUUACAAAAAUAAUGCCAACUGCAGUCAACUGUGAAAUGCAGAAAGUAAGUCGAGGCCGGUUAGUUUUAGAACUAACACUUUCAUUAGACAGAUGAAGAUAUAAUUUGUAUGUAAAUAUUAAAGUAAUUAUCACUAUUCUAUUUAAAAAUAAAAUUAAUGUUAACAGAAAAAAAAUAAUAAUAAUAAAAAUUAAAGUAACAUAAAUUAGUUAGUAAAAGUAUUGAUUAGAAAUUUAAAAAUAAUAAUUUUCAUAUAAUCUUACCGGUUUGUUCCACGUCUUUAGAUUUCUGAAACACGUAACUAUCACAGGUAAUUUUUUGAAACUUCAUAGUGGCGGUUAGUUAUAAAAAAAUUAUUUAUAAAAUUUUGAUUAUACCCUGAGUUAAAAGUAUACACAACUGUUCACAAGAAUAUCUGGUACAUACUGACCAUGUUGACUGUUAUAGCGGAAAAUAUAAACACGCGUGUUCAAGCAAGGCUGAUAAAGAAAAUUGCAAGAAACAUGAUGAAAACAAUGAAAUAGUACAGGAGAAACAACGAUACUCAUUGCAAGAACAGAGAAGACUUUUCUCUCAUCUGGCAAAUCAAGUAACUUAAACUCCUGCUUCUUGCUUGGCUGACUCUCUCUCUCUUUUCUUGUUACUUAUAGUCAGGAUGGAAGGGUGAAGAACGCGAUAUGUCGGCCAGCCACAUCUCUGGAGAAAGGUAUUGCGGUCUCCCUUCCUACCUCUUAUAGCUCUUACUAAAAUCCCGCCUCUGCUAAUUUACUCUUUUACCUCAAUGUCAUUUUGUAUUAAUUUUUUUUUAAUUUAAAUCACGAUUGAGCCAGUAAACCGGUUCACUAAAAAACAGCGGUUCACGACGAUAUAAAAAUUUAUACAGAAUUUGAAGUAAAAAAAUGUUUUUUUUUUUUUUUUUCCUCUUAUGAAACACAAUAAAAUAUAUAUCUUUUCAUUAAUUAUAAUUGAACAUGACAAAUGAUCAAAAGUACACAAUUUAACUCUGUCACCUCGUAAACAUAAAACACAAAAAAAUAUUUUUUUAUUACUAUUAAUUCUUGACAACUUUCAUGUAAUUGACUUCCUUGUUGAACAAAUUGAUUAUUAUUGUUGAUGACACUACAUUUAGAUAUAUAAAAUAAUUAUUUAUUCGGUUGAUUUCCGUCACCAGUCACAAAUACACAAUUAUUAUAACUCGUACGGAUGUUGGUUAAAAUAAUAUAAUAAAUAACAUAUUAUUUUAUUAGUUGACAGCGAAAGUCUAACGGAGGGAAAGCUUUUGUUACUAUUUACCGUGCAGCACAUUGUUAACUUGCCGUCAGAUUAACUCACUCUACAAUAAAUUCGUAUCCGUAGUUCACGAUAGCAAAGGUGAAAGUCAAGAAGAGUAGGUGAGAGUAUACACCUACUAAACACUUUGAUCCUGUUUCUUUUCUAUUUGUAACUAUUUCAUAUUUAAAUUAAUUACAGGCUUCCUCAUCAAUCAAAAGAUCUGUACAGUUAGAACCAUUGCUCUCUCAUAUGAUUAAUUAGGAAUCAAGUAUUGGAUCUUUGUGUUAAAGAUAAUUUAUAAAAUAAAAAACUUUUUUUUCAAAAAAGAAAAAUUUAACGUAUAUUGUAUAAUAGAUUACUAUUACAAUUGUAUAGUUGACUAUAAUAUAAACCACAGUAUCACUUAUCAUAUGAUAAUUAUAAAAUAACAUGAAUACGUUUAAGAGAAGAAAAUUUAAUUUUUAUAUAUCAACUUAUAUAGUUUGAAUUAAUGUGUGUAUAUAAUAAUAAUAAUAUAUAUGUAUACCUAUAAUUUAAAAAUUAAUUUACUUCGAAAGAUAUUAAUUUAACGAUAAUAUCGCGCAUUAAAAUUUAUGCAGUUUUUCGUUUGGUAAAAAGAUAGUUACUGUACAUAUACAUACAUCAAUUAAUAAUAAAUUUUUAGAAUGUCUUUGCGAUAAUUGGACACCCGGGAAGAUCUCGGCCUAAAAUCUAAUUGCAAAUAAUUUUGUGCUUAUUGAAAUUAUCAUCGUUACUAUUAUUACUAUUAUGUUUUAUGUUUGUUUUUAUUAUUAUUAUUAUUAUUAUUAUUAUAAAAAAAAAAAAACAGGCAGUAUUUCAUUAAAAUUCCAUUUAGUGCAGUAAUUACCUUUAAGAUAAUCACUGAAUAUGUGGAAGUAUUGUUUCAAAUAAUUUAUAAAGUAACAAAAUAGUAUGCUAAAAAUGUCAUCGAAGCACUCAUUUAUCAUUUGCUUUAUCAAUAAAGUUAUUCCUCAGUUAAACUUAAAAAGAGUCCACUAAAAAACAGCGCCUCUACUGAGGACUGUUUGACAGUUUGGCUACGCAGGUGUGACCCCACUUCCGUGUCCAGCAAUUCAUCUCUAGGACAUUGCUGGACCUAUAUUAUAAUCCAACCCAAAAAUAUUACUACGGUUUGAGUAUAUCAGUCUAGGGGGUUAGAACAUUUUGUAUGAUGACUAAUGCCUUCGACUGAUACCUGUAGCAAUAUUUGUUACAUGGGUUGGAAAUGUAGGUAAACUCUACUUAGAAUACCAAAGAUUCUUAUUACGUUUAAGUUAUCUAUAAUGAAAAAAUAAAUUUUUUAAAUUAAUCUCUCUUCACGUACAAAUAAGAGAGUCUUAUGCACCAAAAUUUAUUUGUUUUCACAGCCAAGCUGUACGCUAUCAAGAUCAUUGGUUAUACGAAUUCAUUAAUUAAAACUCAGUAUUCAAAUUCACUUUACUCUUUAUACCAUUCAGUGCAGCUCAAACUUUCUUUAUGUUUUAUCGUUAUCUUAAUACUUAUGGAAGAGCAUUCGAGCAAAAGUGCCUAAAAUUUUAUAUCUAAAUUGUCUUUAACGUUUAUCCACUUACUUUUUUUUUAACAUUUCUCGUCAAUUGUUCAUUUAUAAAAUUAUCUAUUUACAUUAAAAAAUGGAUUCUUAUUCUUAUUUAUGUAACUUAUAUAAUUACAUAUAAUGUAGACUAUCACUAAAAAACAGCGCCUCUACUGAGGACUAUCACGAAGGCACGAUACCGAUCUCACUCGUAUCUGUGCAAUCUUUAAUCGCUAUCUGAGCCGUUUCAUUUGUCAAUUCAUCCUGCGUUGAUGUCACAUCGGAUUUUCUCAAUAUUGUAUACACUUGAUAAACCUGUUCCUUAUUUUUCUUAAAAUUAUUAGCUUGUCCAUUAACUUUAGUUUCACGUUGUUUGCCAUUGUCUUCAGAUGUACCGGGAUUUAUUAUCGAUGCACUAUUAUUACAAUUAUUUAUGGUCUUUGAAAUUUUAUCAUCACUUUCUAUUUGUUUAUCAUUGUUAAAACCAUUUCGCUCGGAUUCAGAAACAAAUGGUUGUUCAUUUUUUUUUUCAAUCACUUUAUUCUCUAUAUUACUUGGCUGUUCAUUUUCAAUUCCUACACCAUUUUUAACAGUUUUACCAUUUUUCAACAACGAUUGACUAUCGUUAAAUGAUU